rnacentral:rRNA from 1 species
UCAAGCGAACAAGGGCGCAGGGCGAAUGCCUUGGCACUGGGAGCCGAUGAAAGACGUGAUAAGCUGCGAUAAGCUUCGGGGAGCUGCAAAUAAGCAUUGAUCCGGAGAUUUCUGAAUGAGGAAACUCACCUGGGUUCAUACUCAGGUACGUUAUACUGAACUUCAAAAUAGGUAUAUCGAGGGAACCGCCUGAACUGAAACAUCUAAGUAGGGCGAGGAAGAGACAUCAAACGAGAUUCCGUAAGUAGUGGCGAGCGAACGCGGAAGAGGGCAAACCGGGAGUCGAAAGACUUCCGGGGUACGGACUGCAUUUAAGACUUGAGUUGUUAACCGAACGGCAUGGGAAGGCCGGUCAGAGAGUGUGAGAACCACGUAGGUGAAAACGACAAGAGCUGAGCAAGUUCCAGAGUACGGCCAGACACGUGAAACCUGGUCGGAAGAUGGGGGGACCACCCUCCAACCCUAAAUACUACCCAGUGACCGAUAGCGUAUAGUACUGUGAAGGAAAGGUGAAAAGCACCCCGGGAGGGGAGUGAAAAAGAACCUGAAACCCUGUGCCUACAAGCACCUAGAGCGCGUCAAAGCGUGAUAGGGUACUUUUUGUAGAACGGUCCGGCGAGCGAUUGUAUGCAGCAAGGUUAAGGACUUAAGGUCUGGAGCCGAAGCGAAAGCGAGUUUGAAAAGGGCGUUAAGUUGCAUAUAAUGGGCCCGAAACCGGGUGACCUACCCAUGGUCAGGUUGAAGUGGAAGUAAAAUUCCAUGGAGGACCGAACCGACCUCCGUUGAAAAGGCGGCGGAUGAACUGUGGGUAGCGGAGAAAUUCCAAUCGAACCCGGAGAUAGCUGGUUCUCCCCGAAAUAGUUUUAGGACUAGCCUCAAGUUAGAUACCUGGAGGUAAAGCACUGAAUAGCCUAGCGGCCGAGAGGUUAGCGAAGCUUAUCAAACUCAGAAUGCCAGAGUAUUGAUGCUUGGGAGUCAGACAGUGUCAGAUAAAUGUCAUUGUCAAAAGGGAAACAGCCCAGAUCUACAGCUAAGGUCCCAAAGUCAGGUUAAGUGGAAAACGAUGUGAAGAUACGCAGACAACCAGGAUGUUGGCUCAGAAGCAGCCACUCAUUCAAAGAGUGCGUAAUAGCUCACUGGUCGAGCGUCUUUGCGCGGAGAAUUUAACGGGGCUAAACCUGACACCGAAGCUUAGGCAAUCCAGCAAUGUAUUGGGUAGGGGAGCGUUGUAUACGCGGUGAAACAGUAGCGCAAGCGGCUGUGGAGUGUAUAGAAGUGAGAAUGCCGGAAUGAGUAGCGCGAAUGCAGUGAGAAUCUGCAUGGCCGAAAGCCUCAGGUUUUUGGAGGAAGGUUCGUCCGCUCCAAGUUAGUCGGGAGCUAAGGUGAGGCCGGAAGGCGUAGCCGAUGCACAGACGGUAGAGAUUCCGUCACCACCAAAAGAGUUAAGCACAGGGACACAUAAGAAGUCUCAGAGCCGGGUGUUGGUUCCGGUAGAGAUCGAGGGAAAAUAGUACCGAAGUCUGGGAUGGAAGAUGGCGAGAAAAGCUGUGUGGAUUUCUGAGGUGCCCGUACCGCAAACCGACACAGGUAGGUAGGAAGAAGAUUCUAAGGCCAACGGGAGAAGGGUUGUUAAGGAACUCGGCAAAUUGACCCCGUAACUUCGGGAGAAGGGGUGCUCCAGAGAUGGAGCCGCAGAGAAUCGGCCCAAGCAACUGUUUACCAAAAACACAGGUUUGUGCUAAAUCGAAAGAUGACGUAUACGAGCUGACGCCUGCCCGGUGCUGGAAGGUUAAGAGGAGAUGUGCAAGCAUUGAAUCGAAGCCCCAGUGAACGGCGGCCGUAACUAUAACGGUCCUAAGGUAGCGAAAUUCCUUGUCAGGUAAGUUCUGACCCGC